GUAUUAAAGCAGAAUUCUUCAUUAGAUAAAAUUUGUUCGAAACUUCCGGAUACUCUCACCGCCUUUUUUAAAUCGGGAAAACAACAACAUGCAACACUAGACAUGCUAGAAGAGCAGUUCUACAGAAUAGCGUUCAGUCUAUGAGGUCUAGUAUUUGGUGUCACAGGGUAGUCACAGCCCUUCAAACUGUAUAGGAAGGAUGAUGAAAAAGUGUGGCACUAAUCAGUUAUAGGCCAAAUACAGUCUGAAGGGGCAAAAGGGAAAAGAGGCAUUCACAGGUCACCCUUUGUGCAGGAUAAUCAUGAAAAGUUGUGCAAGAGUGUUCCCAAAAUCCAAGGUUUCCGAUAUGGAGGGAGUCUUAAUUGGCUUCCUAAAACAGGCCCCACACAAGCCAGGAGGACCAAAAUAUAAGAAACCUGUAAGAAAAGGACAGACGAUUGCGCAAGAAGAAUUGGAGUCCGAACAAAUAAAUCUGUUUAAAAGUACAUUGAUUCUACUGAUUUUAGUCCUGUCAAUACUGUUUUUGUUUUGUUGCAAAGUGAUUAAAGAUGUUUAUAAAACUCUA